rnacentral:rRNA from 1 species
UUAAAAACCGUAUCGUGAUGGGGAUCGACCUUUGUAAUUUUCGGUCGUGAACCAGGAAUCCCCAGUAAGCGUGAGUCAUCAGCUCGCGUUGAUUACGUCCCUGCCCUUUGUACACACCGCCCGUCGCUACUACCGAUUGAAUGGUUA